UGGCCUCACCCUGUCUUAUUUGCCUUAAUGUAAUUGUCUGUUCAGAUCCACUGAUGGUGAAAAUUGCAUUUGUCCUUAUCAGUGGAGAUAUUCUAAAAAUGAGAGAUUCAAAGGAGGCAGAGGCUUUAAGACAGAGAAAGUGUGUUUAUUUUCUUGGCUCCUUUGAAAUAGUCUGAUCCCCUGGAAUUGGAUAAUCUCUUUGCAGAACACCAAAAUGGAUGGCUCACAGUAACCCCUAAUCAGGGAAGUUGCUAAAAAAAAAAAAAAAGUGACUUGAUUCAGAGCCUCUCUAUCAGUUCAGCAGUGUUCUGGGGUAACCUUGGAAUAUCUGAGAAUGUUCUGAGAAAUCCACAAUGUGUGUCUUGCCUUGGAUGCAAAGGAGCCCCAGGAUGUAAACACGUAAACGACUAUUCAAGGCCAGGUUCCCUGAGAGCCUCAACUGGAGUUCCUCUCCCUGGGGAAGUGAUGAUAAUGACUUUUUCUUUGGCAAAUCCCUUUCUAUCCUUAUCUCCUUGCAGGAUUGUACAACCCUUCUGUCCAGUGGCCCUGGGAACUUCUAGGACUUCCUGAGCCUGUUUUUGCCUAUUUAUUGUGCUGUUUCCUCUGGAAGCUGCUUCAACACUUAAUCUGGUGAAUGCUGGGGUCAAAGGAAGUGCGUAGACUUGACCCAGGCUCUGCAUCCCUCCUCUAGUGCCCCACGCUCUCUCUGGAUCCUAGUCAUACCAGCCAUCUCCAGGCCCUCCAGGAUCCUUUGCUUCUGCCCUCCUCAUAAGGAUAGAGUAAAGGGGCAAAGUAGGUGAUUAAAUAGUUAAUCCCACUAGGGUAUUGUAAGUAGAAAAAAAAAAUAACUUACAGGUUAUUGAUUUACAUUAAUGGUUAGUAAAUUAAUGGUUACUCAGGAAAGCAGGUUUGCUUAACUACAAAACCAGGCAGGCCUGCUUAGCAACAAAACCAUACAACAGAAACAUGAGACAUGACCCCAAACAAUAAAACAGUGGUGGCUUAAGACCCA
ensembl:lncRNA